UCCGCUUCUAUUCCCUCGCGCCGCGUUCAAACCCUCCAGAAAACGCUACCGCGCCUCCAAGCCUCCUCCGUUCGACCGCGCCACCCGCUGUUCCGCCGCCGGUUUCGCUUCUCCCCUUUCCCAACCCCUAGGACUCCUCCAUCGUUCGCUUUUGCCUCUCUCCGCAGAGCUCAAUGGGCUCGUAACGGAGGAUUCCUAGUACGAUCCUUCAUUCGAGUUCCGCUUGGCUCCGAGAUCAACCGCAGAAACUCUAGAGGACUCGACCUCGGAGCCGUUCCCGAAGAAGAACUCUCGUUCUCUUAGCACUGUAUCAAUGAAUUAAGGAUCUGUAUUUUGGUCAAAUAAAUUGAGGAGAUUAGUGCUCUUGGGUUGCUAAAAGAUCAAAUCAGGGAAUCCAAUUUGCAUAAAAUGUUGUCAAACUUGCAAUAAAAUAUAUCUGGGUAUCAGAUAAAUGACUGUUGUAAUGAUCUACUCCCUCUACUGGAAUACCCAUUGAUAAGUCUUUCCCAGGACUGUAAAGGAAAUGCAGAGGAAUAGGAGAGACGAAAAAAGCAAGGCGGGCCUACAAGAAAGCAUGGUCACAAUUUCUGGAUACAAUUCAACCCGGAAUAAAUAUUGUGACAAAUAUGUUUUGAAAGUGCUGAUGGUUGUUUGAGCUUGUGGAUAGGGUUAAAGUGCAUCAGCAAUGAAGAAUGUCUUAAUUGAAGGGAUUGAUCAAGGUGGUGGAGGAGAUUUUGGUUGUUGGCUGCACCAACUCCAUCACUAACCCUGCCACAUUGUCAAAAAGAGCGUCACCAUCAGCUUGUCUCAAUCUCAAGAACAUCAUUGCAGUUACUGCUGAUUGUAUGCAUUUGAUUCGAGAUGACUAAACUGAUUCUGCAGCUUAAACUGUAUAUAGCUCAUCGAAGACUUCCUAUUUUUGAGGAUUAACUAUUCUUCUGGUUCGUUGGUGACAAUUUGACUCUAGUCGCACAUCAUCAUCACCUUUUGUCACUAUUAUCUGAUUAAGAUCUUAAGACUUGUGGGCAGUAGCAUGAAGUUCUGAAAUCGACUCCAACCCCAAUCAGUUCAUGAUUGUAGCAGAAGACAACAUAUGGACCUAGAAAGAGUCCAAAAACACAUGCCUUAAAAUGUGAGUUGGUUCAGCGCUUGCUUUUUCUUAUGUGCUUGUCACUGUACAAUAUCAUGCCCUUUUUUUUUUUUCUCAUUUAACUGUGCGAAACCAAUUAUUUCUCAUAUCCAACCGCUCUCAUCUGUGUAUCUGUGAUGCC